AGUGAACGCUGGCGGUAGGCCUAACACAUGCAAGUCGAACGGCAGCACAGUAAGAGCUUGCUCUUACGGGUGGCGAGUGGCGGACGGGUGAGGAAUACAUCGGAAUCUACUUUUUCGUGGGGGUUAACGUAGGGAAACUUACGCUAAUACCGCAUACGCCCUACGGGUGAAAGCAGGGGAUCUUCGGACCUUGCGCGAUUGAAUGAGCCGAUGUCGGAUUAGCUAGUUGGCGGGGUAAAGGCCCACCAAGGCGACGAUCCGUAGCUGGUCUGAGAGGAUGGUCCGCCACACUGGAGCUGAGACACGGUCCAGACUCCUAAGGGAGGCAGCAGUGGGGAAUAUUGGACAAUGGGCGGAAGCCUGAUCCAGCCAGACCGCGUGGGUGAAGAAGGCCUUCGGGUUGUAAAGCCCUUUUGUUGGGAAAGAAAAGCAGCAGGUUAAUACCCCGCUGUUCUGACGGUACCCAAAGAAUAAGCACCGGCUAACUUCGUG
rnacentral:rRNA from 1 species